CCACUCCUUUCCUGCCAAGCUUUCUGAGUUCAGCACCUGACUCCAGGGUUCAGUAGGAGCUGCACCGGUCUGUUUCAUUACUAAUGCAAGCAAUGAUGGGAAAUCACACCAGAUCUUUGACUCGCUUCUAAAAGUCCCCUGUUUUAUAUUAUCUUCUUAUCACAUUUGAAUGUCUUUAAAGGUGAUCGUGGUGUCACACCUUAAAUCUUACUUGGGAAGUUUAAUUUUGCAGACAACAGAGGGUCCAUCAGAGCACAAUGCGGUGAUGACAAGGAUGGUGCCUGGAUGUGACAGAGAUUCAACUGAUAUUUAUAAUGUAAAUCCACAAUCAAAACUUGAGGAUUUGAAAACAACUUCAACCUUGACCUUGGCCUUUCUAAACUCUGCCCUUCUCUCUCUGCCAUGGAUCGAGCAGAUUUCCUCUACCACAUCCUCUACCAUACCUUUUCUGCCUUGGAGCCAGCCAGUCACAGACUGAGCCUACUGAAAAUGUAAGUCAAAUAAAUU
rnacentral:lncRNA from 1 species